GGAAGAAACAGAGGAAGAGAGAAACACAGUGAGAGAGAGGGAGGAAUUCAGAAUUUUUCUGUUCAGGGAUUACCAGGUUGCCAUGGUGAUUAGUUAAAGUGAGGUAGGGCCAUAUCUACGGGGAAUGAGAUGAGGAGAGGGAGGAGAGAGGAAGAGGAAGAGGGAGGAGAGACAGGCAAUAAUAUAAAAAGAGCUAUGAAUAACUGUGGUCAUAGUACCACAGUAGCAUGAAGCUCCCCCACAGAGUUAGCCUGCUAGCUUGGUUUCAGGAUUACAGUUAUGACUGUUACUACAAAUUAGCACCAGAAAUUAGCAACCAAAACUACAAUCCCAUCCCUCUUCAGGCAGCUCACCCACUCCGUACAGCUCUACUGACGCCUCCUCGUAAGGUCAAAGGGCAUGUGCGAUCCAAAUGAAGACUGACUUUGAUCAGAACGACUUCAGCAGGGCAGAUACUUGCUUCUUCACCGCCCUACUGUGAACGCAGCGUUUUUCACGGUUGAAGAGCAUUUUCUAAUCUUGGCCUUCUUGCAACCCAGCGUGCCACAAAUGGCAAUGUUACACAACAACAGACACCACC